GUUUUCUUUAAUGGUAAUAAAUGGAAAUCAUAAGGUAAGGAACAAAGAGGUACUAUAAAUCUGGAAUUUUCGUAAGGAAAGGCAUUUUGACAGUUUUGCAUCAUCAUGUGGAAGGUAGAUCCAACAAGGGGUAAUGCUCAUAAAAGAGUCGACUUU